rnacentral:rRNA from 1 species
UACGUAGGGGGCAAGCGUUGUCCGGAUUUAUUGGGCGUAAAGCGCGUGUAGGCGGCCACACAGGUCCGCUGUGAAAACUCGAGGCUCAACCUCGAGCUGUCGGUGGAAACCGUGUGGCUAGAGUCCGGAAGAGGAGACUGGAAUUCCCGGUGUAGCGGUGAAAUGCGCAGAUAUCAGGAAGAACACCUAUGGCGAAGGCAGCUCUCUGGGACGGUACUGACGCUGAGACGCGAAAGCGUGGGGAGCGAACAGG